rnacentral:rRNA from 1 species
CAUGCAAGUCGAACGGCAGCACMGGAGARCUUGCUCUCUGGGKGGCGAGUGGCGGACGGGUGUGGAAUACAUCGGAAUCUACCUUUUCGUGGGGGAUAACGUAGGGAAACUUACGCUAAUACCGCAUACGACCUUCGGGUGAAAGCAGGGGACCUUCGGGCCUUGCGCGGAUAGAUGAGCCGAUGUCGGAUUAGCUAGUUGGCGGGGUAAAGGCCCACCAAGGCGACGAUCCGUAGCUGGUCUGAGAGGAUGAUCAGCCACACUGGAAMUGAGACACGGUCCAGACUCCUACGGGAGGCAGCAGUGGGGAAUAUUGGACAAUGGGCSCAAGCCUGAUCCAGCCAURCCGCGUGGGUGAAGAAGGCCUUCGGGUUGUAAAGCCCUUUUGUUGGGAAAGAAAAGCAGUCGGUUAAUACCCGGUUGUUCUGACGGUACCCAAAGAAUAAGCWCCGGCUAACUUCGUGCCAGCAGCCGCGGUAAUACGAAGGGUGCAAGCGUUACUCGGAAUUACCGGGCGUAAAGCGUGCGUAGGUGGUUGUUUAAGUCUGUUGUGAAAGCCCUGGGCUCAACCUGGGAAUUGCAGUGGAUACUGGGCGACUAGAGUGUGGUAGAGGGUAGUGGAAUUCCUGGUGUAGCAGUGAAAUGCGUAGAGAUCAGGAGGAACAUCCAUGGCGAAGGCAGCUACCUGGACCAACACUGACACUGAGGCACGAAAGCGUGGGGAGCAAACAGGAUUAGAUACCCUGGUAGUCCACGCCCUAAACGAUGCGAACUGGAUGUUGGGUGCAAUUUGGCACGCAGUAUCGAAGCUAACGCGUUAAGUUCKCCGCCUGGGGAGUACGGUCGCAAGACUGAAACUCAAAUGAAUUGACGGGG